UGCAAGGACCUCGCGGAGCGUUUACAAGC
rnacentral:sRNA from 1 species